AGAGUUUGAUCCUGGCUCAGAUUGAACGCUGGCGGCAUGCUUUACACAUGCAAGUCGAACGGCAGCACAGAGAAGCUUGCUUCUUGGGUGGCGAGUGGCGAACGGGUGAGUAAUAUAUCGGAACGUACCGAGUAGUGGGGGAUAACUAAUCGAAAGAUUAGCUAAUACCGCAUAUUCUCUGAGGAGGAAAGCAGGGGACCUUCGGGCCUUGCGUUAUUCGAGCGGCCGAUAUCUGAUUAGCUAGUUGGUGGGGUAAAGGCCUACCAAGGCGACGAUCAGUAGCGGGUCUGAGAGGAUGAUCCGCCACACUGGGACUGAGACACGGCCCAGACUCCUACGGGAGGCAGCAGUGGGGAAUUUUGGACAAUGGGCGCAAGCCUGAUCCAGCCAUGCCGCGUGUCUGAAGAAGGCCUUCGGGUUGUAAAGGACUUUUGUCAGGGAAGAAAAGGACAGGGUUAAUACCUCUGUUUGAUGACGGUACCUGAAGAAUAAGCACCGGCUAACUACGUGCCAGCAGCCGCGGU
rnacentral:rRNA from 4 species